UCCCCGGAGGAGGGGCCACCGGGCCAGAGGCGGAGCUGCCGCCCAGCCGCGACUUUCAGACUCGGACCAUGGCCUCAUGCUGGUGGCGGUGGCGGCGCGGCUGCUUCUGGAGGCCGGCGGCACGGAGCCCUGGGCCUGGCUCUCCCGGCCACGCGGGGCCGCCUGGGCAGCGCGCCGCCGCUGCCGCUGUUGCCCGUGCGCAGAUGUCCUGUUUUAAUCUUGUGAAGAGUUUAACAUCCGCCUUUCCAAAUACGUAUAGUAUAUCACGGUUUCAUCACACAACACCAGCACUGUGCUGCUGUAGCAAAACACGGAGUGGUGAGAAAUACACCGAUCCUUUUAAACUUGGCUGGAGAGACUUGAAAGGUCUGUAUGAGGACAUCAGGAAGGAACUGUUCAUAUCAACAACAGAACUUAAGGAAAUGUCUGAAUACUACUUUGAUGGAAAGGGAAAAGCCUUUCGACCAAUUAUUGUGGUGCUAAUGGCCCGAGCCUGUAAUAUUCAUCAUAAUAACUCUCGAGAUAUGCAAGCAAGCCAGCGCACCAUAGCCUUAAUUGCAGAAAUGAUCCACACUGCCAGUCUGGUCCAUGAUGAUGUCAUUGAUGACGCAAGUUCCCGGAGAGGAAAACACACAGUUAAUAAGAUCUGGGGUGAAAAGAAGGCUGUCCUUGCUGGUGAUUUAAUUCUUUCUGCAGCAUCGAUAGCUCUGGCACGAAUUGGAAAUACAACUGUUAUAUCUAUUUUAACCCAAGUGAUUGAAGAUUUGGUGCGUGGUGAAUUUCUUCAGCUAGGGUCAAAAGAAAAUGAGAAUGAACGAUUUGCACACUACCUUGAAAAGACCUUCAAGAAGACUGCCAGUCUGAUCGCCAACAGUUGUAAAGCAGUCUCUGUCCUCGGCUGCCCUGACCCCGCGGUACAUGAGAUCGCCUAUCAAUACGGGAAGAACGUGGGGAUCGCCUUCCAGCUCAUAGACGAUGUCCUGGACUUCACCUCGUGUUCUGACCAGAUGGGCAAACCGACCUCGGCCGACCUGAAGCUCGGCUUAGCCACAGGCCCUGUCUUAUUCGCUUGUCAGCAGGCUCCCUGCCAGGGAGAAGCUGGCACCCGCUGUGAGCACUGCCAUGGCCAGAACCAAGCAUCUCUUGCCUCCUAUUUCCUGAAGACACGCACUCUCAGAACCAAUGGAUUUCUGAUCACGUAGCUCAGCUCCUUCUCGGUGCAGAGGAGGGGCAGGCAGGGACCAGGAGGCUCAGGAGCUCAGCUGCAGCAGCACCAGGACUAAAGCGCAAAUGGAGACGAUGAAGUGAUGUGGUGUCCUGGCUUCCUGGCUCUGCUCAUGGUGACACAGUUCACCUCAACUGUUGCUAGUAUGGUAGGACGUAGAUUUGAUCUUCAGUGCACCUUGUACCAGUUUCCUGGGUUCCUCUUAUUGCCAUCAGCUUAACACUGGUCUUAAGUACAGUGACCUGACUGCUGUCUCAACCCAUUUCUUCUAAUGCAGUGCUUCCCAGCCUUGGCUGCAUAUGAGAAGUACCUGAAGAGCUUUUAAAAUCCUGAUGCUGGGCCCAAACCCCAAGCCAACAUUAUCACAAUCCUGGGAGUGGAUCCGGGAAAGUACAUCAGCAGCCUCCCCCCGACUCAGGCAGCACUGCCCUCACCUCCACGAGCUGCCGUCACAGCGCUUUUGCUCACGACUCCCUCUGCUCAGAGACCUCAGAGCUUUCUGAUGUCACUCAGUUUAGUACCAAGAGCCUAUGCGUAACCUCAUCAGAAACCAGCAGAACCAUCAUCAUCUGGGAACGUGUUAGAAGUGCACACUCAGCCGCAUUCCUACUGAGUAGAAACUCAGAGAAGCCCAGUGGGCCCCGGGUAGUUCUGUUUCCAGAAAUGAACGCUAUGAUAAUGAGACGGUUCAGUUUGCCAGGAGACGUGGACAGAGCACGACAAUACAUAUUACAG